UUUAAAUAAAUCGCGAGCGAAAAAAUACUGUCAAGCUACGGUGAGCAACAACAAAAAUAUGCUCAUAUAACCUGCACCACCCUGUAACACCCUGAUUUCAUCAGGCCCCCAGCAGUGUGUGAGAAAACAUUUUCCGCUUCUUUCGUGCCUCAGCCAGCGGAAAAUAACACUUUGCUGGAGAGAAUUUUUGUGAAUUACCAAACCAUGCAAGGGAUGGAGUUGCCGACUUGUGGUAUACAGCUUGUUUUGUACUAAAUUUUUACUAAUGGACUUGCUUGACAUGUUUGAUUGAGCAGUGACACUACAUACAUUUAAUACAUGCAGUAUAUUUUACUUGUAAAUAUUCUACAUUGAACAGAAUAUUAACCCUUUAAGUGGCAAUUUGCUUUACUUUUUUACUUUUUCUGUCUAAUGUGGUCAGACAAUUUUUGCUUAUUAAGGAGAGAGUGCUGCCACUUAAUGGGUUAAAGCUUUUCUGUAAAUGUAAAUUUUUUGAACGAUAACUAUAUAAUACUGUGCUGGGAAUGGAACCUGCUGCCCUGUGAUUCUGAUCAGCUUUUUAACCGUCAAGGGUCCUCAAGCCCUAAGAGUCCAUCGCCCUGAGAGUCAAUCAAGCUCUACUGUAACCAAGAGUUCAUGUACAUAAUACUAGUGUCAUCAAGGGCAGUUUAUUUAAUACACUACCAAUGACACCACCAUGGUAUAUAUACAGCAACUUGUGGUUACCUCUUGGCAAAAGGGCUCUUUAGGUCAGAGGGCUGUGGUAGAAUUGCAAUGCUGCAGGUUCAAUUCAUGCUGACAGGCUUGUAAUUGUAUUCCACAUGUAUUCAUGAUAUCAUUCUAAUGAAAAUUUCAUUUUAGAACUGCAUUAAAUAUUAUAGGGCGUAAGAGUAUAUCAUUAUAUUAUGACAAUGUU